UACGUAGGUGGCAAGCGUUGUCCGGAAUUAUUGGGCGUAAAGCGCGCGCAGGCGGUUUCUUAAGUCUGCUGUGAAAGCCCACGGCUUAACCGUGGAAGGUCAUUGGAAACUGGGAGACUUGAGUGCAGAAGAGAAGAGCGGAAUUCCACGUGUAGCGGUGAAAUGCGUAGAGAUGUGGAGGAACACCAGUGGCGAAGGCGGCUCUUUGGUCUGUAACUGACGCUGAGGCGCGAAAGCGUGGGGAUCAAACAGG
rnacentral:rRNA from 1 species